rnacentral:lncRNA from 1 species
CAGGAAUUGCAGGGCCUCCCCACUUCGGAAAUCCCUGGAAUUGUAUCCGCUCCACCUUAGCCACUCUGCUGAGGCCUGGGGGGGGGGGGCUCGAAAGAAACAGGGGUUGGUAGCAAGACACUCGACUUAGAAACGCAACCAGCCUCCACGGAGAUCUGAACUUGUCCCGGUCCCCUCCCUGUCCUUCUGCCUCUUGUCCAGGAGACACCCAGCCAGCCAGACCAGCACCGGGCGCGGAGAGCUAGAGCGCUCGGCAGCGGAUGCGGCGCGCGGCCUGGCAGCCCAGGGCAUCCCCGCAGCUGGGGGCGGAAGAUCUGGGCGGUUGCAGGAAGGGUCGGCACAGCCCCAGCUCCACUCCACCACCGCAGCCCUGAUCUGAGGCCGGCGCGGUGAGUGGCAGAGAGGAGGGCGCGGCAAGGGAGGAGAGUAGCGAGUGUGAAGACGCUGAUUGGUGCGGGCUCAGGGGCGGGGAGCUCGGUGGGCACGGGGGCGGGGCCUAAGCCAAGAGCUGGAGCUGCUGGAGCUGCGAGUGCACGGAGAGGAAUAGCUAGCAGCUGGAGCGGAGUUGGAGGAAGCUACGGCCCCGGCGAGGGCGGUGGACUAGGGGGUCGGAGACUUAGAGCUAGGAUCGGGAGCAGUCGGUCCAGGCUGGAUCGCAGGCACGUCGAAGCCGUGAGCUCCGGAGGCCGCUACAGCACCGGCCCAGCAGAGGAAGGAAGCCGGCCGGCGGGGAGGGCGAGACUGGAGGGACCUGCCCAGCAAUAUGGAGCCGGCCAGGAGAACAAGCGAGCGUGCAAGCUGGAGCUAAAACAUCGAGGGGAAUUGUCUGGAAGCCACAGCUCGAACACUCACUUCCCAAGGGCAGAAACUGCCUGGCAGAUCACGAGACAAAGAGAACAGACAAGCUCUGGCCAGGCAUCCCUGUACAGAAAUGUAUUUUGAUAACCAGAAUUUGAGCAUAAAAAUGCAAGAGUGUGAGCAGAAUGGCUGUUACAUGUUGAAUGCAGAAUGUGUAGGAAUUGGAUUUGGGAAAAUUAUGCUUCUGGGCGCUGUUAAAUACCGGAAAGGUCUCAGCCCCACCGUUAAUUCCCGGCGGAGCUGCAGCGCUGUUGGUGUCCAAGUGUGAGUUUACUCUUUUAUUGGGGGUGGUGGGGGGUGGAGGGGUUAAUGACUUUAGGGUUUUUUUUUUUUUUCCAUUUUCCCUCCCCGUGUUCUUUUCCUCUUUGUCAGUGCAAAGUAAGAAUGGAUAAAGCAGUUCCGGGKUUUGAAUGUAGCAUGUGAUUGUCAUUUCAGUGUGAUGAGUUUCAAGUUUAGUUGUUAGGCGGGAUAUUCACAAAGCUUAUUGACCUAGGCUUUCUGUGGAAUCAUGUUUUAAUAUUUUAUUAGUUUGUGUUACUUUUUGGCAACCUUAAAGAUGGUUAGUAUUGGAGUAGGUAACUGACAGGGUCAUUUCUGACUCAAGUUAUCAGAGCAAUGGAUCUUCAAUGUAUAAAUCAUUAGGAAUUUGGUGAUUCCUGCACAGGAGAGGGCCACAAGCCCUUUUAUCAUCAAAAAAAAAAAAAAAAAGAAAAAAGCAUCAUACAAGCUGUAACUUUUUGAUAGAUGACACUGAUCUUGAAAUAAGUCACUCAUAAGCAAGAAUAGUGUUCCUAUGUCUAAAAAUUGCUAAAACUUUGCAAAACAAGUGUUUUGCUCAGCACAAAGAAAAUAUGAAAUAAUUUGUGUGUGUGUGUGUGUGUGUGUCCAGGUCCCCGCACGUGUGCCUCUAAAGUUUGUUGGUUUGGAGUCAAAUUGGAAAGGACAGGGGGAAGCGCCAGGCUUUGCUGUGGAUAAUGUCACUAUUGGACUCUUUAGCUUUUAUAUGCCAGUUGCUGGUAGUUAUUAGAGGGGUCAUACUACUGUUUCCAAAGAAAUGUAUAGAUCUUAUAAGUAGAAGAAAGUUCUAUGUGUCUGAUAUCAUCUUUCAAACUGUUAUGUCCUUUUACUUUUGAUGUUCAUUUUGAUUUUGAACCUGUUCUUAGUUGCAUAACAGAACUCUGCAAUGUACACCCUCUUAAUCUGCUGUUUUAUCUGUACUGUGUCUUUUCACAUCUGUGAUGCUAUAUGGUCAAUGUAAAAAGCAUUUCACUUUCCAUUGAUUAAAUGUAUUAUUUUCUUUAGCAAUUUCUUGAGUUUAAUACAUUUACAGUAAAGUUAGUUUUGGGAAACUAAACUGCUACAAUAAGUUAAAGGGAUAUAUAGUUCAUUUAUUGGCAGUGAUAAUGAUUGUAUGCAUUUAUCUUCUGGAAAUAUUGAUUUCACCUAAACUGAUUUUUGGAGAGCUUUGAAUUCUAAGUGCAAACCUAUCCAACUUACCCAAAUUGUUAAAAGUGUUGGCCAUUCCUUUAAUGAAAAUUUUCCAUGAAUACCUUGUAAUUUUUAGGUUGACAUGUUGGUUUUAAAUCCCCCCCUCCUUUUUUCUAAUCUAGGUAGUUUAGGGAGUAUUGUAAAAAAGCAUCCACUUUGAAAGAUUGUCCACAUGGCCAUCUAAAAUGGGAACAAUUCUAGUUCAGCUUUUAUCAUAUUUGCAUUUUGUAAUUUGCAAAAUGUCCUUUAUUGAAUAAAGAGCUGAUGAGUAAGUAGAACA